GGAGGUAGCUCUGUGGUACAGCACUUGCCUAGCAUGCAUGAUGCUCUGGGUUCCAACCCCAGUACUUUAA
rnacentral:tRNA from 1 species